UAUUCUUUUCUUACUUUCCGCUCAUGCGAGAAUAUACAUUUAAGGGGCCGUUUGGUUGCAUGUAGUUAACUCCAACUGCAUGUAUUUACAUGCAGUUGUAACUGCAUAUAAAUAUAAAUUUCGUGUUUGAUUUGAUAUAUUUAACUCCAACUGCUGCAGUAGGAACUGCAGGAGGAGGCCCAAUUGCAGCAGUUCGAACUACGCCCAAAUUGGCUGCAGUUCCAACUACAGCAGUUGGAAAGAGUAAUUUUAAAUAAAAGGUAUGCUUACCUCCUCAAUAUUUUUUAAACAAAAAUUAAUUUCCUUCGUUACAUCGGAGGUAAUCUCACCAUCAUAUAUAUAAAAUAAUAAAAUUUUAAAAAUUAUUUCUCAACUACAUGCAAUCAAACAAAUUAUUUAUACUUGCAACGCUUUCUACUACAUCCAACCAAACAUGAUUCAUGUAGUUGUAACUGCUGUAUUUUCAACUGCAUACAUCUCUAACUACACUACAUUUAUAAUUACAUCUAACCAAAUGGCCCUAAAUCUCACCGGUCUGCAAU
rnacentral:lncRNA from 1 species